UAUCUGAGUGUUUGAUUGAGGAAGGAAAUUGGACCUGUUGGAAUGGAACACAUGCGGACCGGUGGUGCAGCUCUGAAUCGGUCAUGGAGGUGACAGUUCUAAUCUGCUUUUCUUGUUAACACCCAGAUGGAGAGGGAGAGAGAGAGGAAGGACAGGCUGUGACCAGAUUCGUGAAAGAGUCGGGGCCAAGGAUGGACUGAAUUUGUGCUUGUGUGGGGGGAGCAGUGCCAUCCUCUCUCGGCCUGGGAGGCGGGUGUCCCAGCAGGACUCGGCACGCCAGCAUCUGCAGAGAGGCUGCGUCUCUUAACAUCACUCUUAGCCCUUCACUUUCUUCAGCAAUCGACAUCUUUACUUAGAAAGCUGAGUGCCUCGAAGAGUCCUCCACCGGAUUGGAGACAGCUGGGAGGCCACAGCUCCACCUCAGGUCAUCAGGCAUUAGAUCCCAGAGGCUGGGGACCCCUGUCACAGAGGAAAACAUAUCAUGAGCAACAGGCCCAACGCAGAAGUGCAUCAUUUAGUGGUUCAGGAGCGUUAAGUGCUGUGAAAGAACAGAGGAAAACCAGAGUGCAUAGGGACAGCAGGAGAGCUGGGGGCAGAGCUGGAAGACAAGGGACAAGCUGGCACCUCCAAUAAGAAUUCUAAGUCUUUUCAAGACCGAAUGGACCACAGAGGAGAGGCACUGGGUAGAAAACUCAACAGGUGAUAUUUGAAGACCUCUACUUAUAGCCUGGGUCAUCCCCCUGGAAGCUGAAGAUCCUGUUCUCAAAGCCUUUUAAUUGCUUGGCUAAAGACUGAACACGUACCUUGUUCCCCACCAAAGCCGCUGCCUGGCAGAACAUUCCAGGGCACAGGCUCUUGCAUUCUCCAGUCUGGAAGCUUCUGCUUCCACGGCCUGACAGAGUGAGCCGGACCAGGCCAUCAUGUUCAUGGUUCCAGCCCUACUAAGACUGGGCUCCAACAGCUGGGCCCUGCAGAGAGGGCGAUGGAAGGAAGACCCUAGCACAGGCCAGAAGGAGGCCCUGGGCUGUCACGGGUGCCACUGGUCUGGCCCCUGCACUUCCAAAGGAGCUGUUCUUGCCAAACUCCAAGCCCCCUCCCUAGGAGGCAUGCUGGCAAUGGUGGGCCAUGGCUUACAGUUGCUUAAAAAACGAAAGGGAGCACAGUUUACUCGGGAACCAACUGAUGUUCCCUAGGCCUGGAAGAGUUGAAAUGAGGAGAGCUCCACUAAGAAACAGCACUAAGAUUAUUUUAGCAGAUGGUAACCUUUAGUGAUUUUUAAUCAAACAAUGUAUUUGAUCAUGUGUGCCUAAACCACCAUACGUGUAUUACUUUAAAAGUAAAAUGGUAAAUGC
ensembl:lncRNA